AACGAACGCUGGCGGCAGGCCUAACACAUGCAAGUCGAACGCCCCGCAAGGGAGUGGCAGACGGGUGAGUAACGCGUGGGAACGUACCCUUCGGUUCGGAAUAACCCGGGGAAACUCGGGCUAAUACCGGAUACGUCCGCAAGGAGAAAGAUUUAUCGCCGAAGGAUCGGCCCGCGUCGGAUUAGCUAGUUGGUGGGGUAAUGGCCCACCAAGGCGACGAUCCGUAGCUGGUCUGAGAGGAUGAUCAGCCACACUGGGACUGAGACACGGCCCAGACUCCUACGGGAGGCAGCAGUGGGGAAUAUUGGACAAUGGGCGAAAGCCUGAUCCAGCCAUGCCGCGUGAGUGAAGAAGGCCUUAGGGUUGUAAAGCUCUUUCAGCGGGAAGAUAAUGACGGUACCCGCAGAAGAAGCACCGGCUAACUCCGUGCCAGCAG
rnacentral:rRNA from 1 species